ACGCUCGACACCUACGGGGGCAGCAGUGGGGAAUAUUGCACAAUGGGGGAAACCCGUAGAUGCAGCGACGCCGCGUGAGCGAAGAAGUAUCUCGGUAUGUAAAGCUCUAUCAGCAGGGAAGAAGAUGACGGUACCUGACUAAGAAGCACCGGCUAAAUACGUGCCAGCAGCCGCGGUAAUCUGAGCGGGCUGGCAAGGC
rnacentral:rRNA from 1 species